CUGCUCUGGGCGUGACCCCGGGGUCCCGGGAUCGAGUCCCACAUCGGGCUCCCUGCAUGGAGCCUGCUUCCCCCUCUGCCUGUGUCUCUGCCCCUCUCUCUGUGUCUCUCAUGAAUAAAUAAAUAAAAUGUUAAAAAAUAGAGAAGAAGAAGAAGCGAGGAGAGGACGUCCACACUGAGACAGGCCUGCAGGCCAGAGAGGUGGACAGUGGUUCCAGAGGGAUGACUCUUCCCACGGCCUGUUCCCGACCCCGAAGCCUUACUCUGCCUCAUGUCCACUUCAUUUAAAAUACAAAAGAGCAAGAAUAAUAUAUCUCUUCUUUUGUGACUUGUUGCAGUAAUAUUUUUAGUUUCAAGGUAAUAUAAUACUCUUAGCUUAAUGACAGGUUUUUUUUUUUUUUUUUUUUUUGCCUCCAAAUGCCACAAAUACUUGAGUGGAGGGCGACAUUUGGUCUUUUGACAUUUUGUAUUCAAUCACUCAGAAAAAGACACUUUGUACCAUUAAAUGUUGCCUUUUGAGGACCUCGCUAGGGGCCCGGGUAGAAAUCCUAUGUUCCUAUGAAGAAUGAAUCAUCAGAUAAACCCCACUUUUAAUUUUUGGAAUAACAUUUUUUACAAUUUAAAUAUAUGUUGUGUGGUUUUAUUUUUAUUUCUCCGUGGUAUCCAGAGGUCCUUCAGAAUGUACUGUAACUCACUUAAUCGCUAGUAUAUUCUGAGCGGCCCUUCUGGGAAUUCUUAACAGAAACAGCACGGAGUGGGUGCUAAGAACACUGCGGCUUGCUUUAUAAUUUACAGUGUAGGUGUAAAUCCUUUCUCCGAAGAACAGCACAAAAUUGCCAUCUAAUUCGCUUCGGGAACAUUUGAACGAGGCCCGAGGCAGGGACCCGGCCUGGGGAAAAACUGAUGCUGCAGGACAGAGAGGCAGUAAUUGCAGAAGCCCAGACCUCGAGGACCGAGGAAGGAUGACCCUAAUUUCCUCAGUGAUGCACUGUUUGUGGACUCGGAGACUGGCGUGAGCGCCACCACCACGGCCACCACCACCAAGCCAGCCAGCGGAGGCCAGGGCAGGACACGGGCCGCCUCCGACCUGGGCUGCGUCCCCACGGCCCCUGGGGAAGAGUGGAAGACACUUCGUCUCCGGAUUCUACUUCCGACCACUCGCCACCGUUCACGCUCGGUCCUCAGCACCGUCAUGUGUAAAGACGUCCCUGGAUAAUUCAAGGCACAUUUCAGUCUCAAAACCCCGAUAUGGGGCAGAAGACCUUGUGGCAGG
rnacentral:lncRNA from 12 species